CGGGGUGUGGCCUAGUGGCUAAGGCGCGUGCUUUGGGAGCACGAGAUCGUGGGUUCAAAUCCCACCACCCCGACCA
rnacentral:tRNA from 1 species